UGCAGUCGAACGAUUAAAGCUCUCUUCGGAGAGUGUAUAGAGUGGCGCACGGGUGAGUAACACGUAAGUAAUCUACCUUCGAGUGGGGAAUAACGUUCGGAAACGAACGCUAAUACCGCAUAACGCAGCGGCAUCGCAAGAUGACAGUUGUUAAAGGAAUUUAUUUCGCUUGAAGAGGAGCUUGCGGCAGAUUAGCUUGUUGGUAAGGUAACGGCUUACCAAGGCUACGAUCUGUAUCCGGUCUAAGAGGACGGUCGGACACACUGACACUGAAUAACGGGUCAGACUCCUACGGGAGGCAGCAGUCGGGAAUUUUGGGCAAUGGGCGAAAGCCUGACCCAGCAACGCCGCGUGAAGGAUGAAGUAUUUCGGUAUGUAAACUUCGAAAGAAUGGGAAGAAUAAAUGACGGUACCAUUUAUAAGCUCCGGCUAACUACGUGCCAGCAGCCGCGGUAAUACGUAGGGAGCAAGCGUUGUUCGGAUUUACUGGGCGUAAGGGCGCGUAGGCGGCGCGGUAAGUCACUUGUGAAAUCUCUGAGCUUAACUCAGAACGGCCAAGUGAUACUGCAGUGCUAGAGUGCAGAGGGGCAAUCGGAAUUCUUGGUGUAGCGGUGAAAUGCGUAGAUAUCAAGAGGAACACCUGAGGUGAAGACGGGUUGCUGGGCUGACACUGACGCUGAGGCGCGAAAGCCAGGGGAGCAAACGGGAUUAGAUACCCCGGUAGUCCUGGCCCUAAACGAUGAAUACUUGGUGUCUGGAGUUUCAAGACUUCGGGUGCCGUCGCUAACGUUUUAAGUAUUCCGCCUGGGGAGUACGCUCGCAAGAGUGAAACUCAAAGGAAUUGACGGGGACCCGCACAAGCGGUGGAGCAUGUGGUUUAAUUCGACGCAACGCGAAGAACCUUACCUGGACUAGAAUGUGAGGG
rnacentral:rRNA from 1 species